rnacentral:misc_RNA from 1 species
UUAAGUUCAGCGGGUAGUCCUACCUGAUUUGAGACCAGAGUCAAAGUAAUUGUCCGAAGACGAUUAGAAGCAAACUUCACAAGUCUUACCAGCGAAACUUAUUACGCCAGACGACAUUGUUAAACUCGCUAACUCCUUUAAGGCGAGCCAGAGACUGGCAACACCCAAAUCCAAGCCAUUAAGAAACCCUAAUGGUUGAG